AGUCGAGAAAACAGAGAGAAGUUAAAUAGCAUUGUCCUACUCUCAUAGUGGGCAAAUCUGACUCCUAACAAAGGUCUGACUCUGUAACAACAUAUGCCAGAAGAUGACACACUAUCUUCCGAUUUGCUGGCCAAAUAAGAAGAGAAUUUGGAUUUGAACCAAUAGCCAGUGAGUUUACCAGCACGCCACUGAGUUACAUGCGCAUUGUCGGAGAAGAGAUCCCGUGUCUCUGUGAUUAUGUCUCUGGGACUAAGAUUGUUGCUUUCUGGUGAUGAAUUUGAGGUGAUCAAUCCCUGAGAAAAAUGGCCCUGUCAAAAAGUAGCUUCUACCAACAGGAAGAUCAAAAGUUGCCAUCCUCAUGGGGACUGAACCUAGAGCACACACACCAACAACUGUAAUUACAUAGAAACAAAGGUAGUCUCCUCCGAAGAUAAUCCUGUUCACCAUGGAAGACAUCGGGACUUCCAGUACUUGGAGCUGGGGGC